rnacentral:rRNA from 1 species
GUAGGGAAUAUUGGGCAAUGGAGGCAACUCUGACCCAGCCAUGCCGCGUGCAGGAUGACGGCCCUCUGGGUUGUAAACUGCUUUUAUACGGGAAGAAAAAAUACUACGUGUAGUAUACUGACGGUACCGUAAGAAUAAGGAUCGGCUAACUCCGUGCCAGCAGCCGCGGUAAUACGGAGGAUCCAAGCGUUGUCCGGAUUUAUUGGGUAUAAAGGGUGCGUAGUCGGAUCUUUAAGUCAGUGGUGAAAGCCUGCUGCUUAACUGUAGAAUUGACAUUGAAACUGAAGAUCUUGAAUGUGGUUAAAGUAGGCGGAAUGUAUCAUGUAGCGGUGAAAUGCUUAGAUAUGAUACAGAACACCGAUAGCGAAGGCAGCUUGCUGAACCAUUAUUGACGCUGAGGCACGAAAGCGUGGGGAGCGAACAGGAUUAGAUACCCGUGUAGUCC